AUUGAACGCUGGCGACAUGCCUUACACAUGCAAGUCGAACGGCAGCACGGGAGCAAUCCUGGUGGCGAGUGGCGAACGGGUGAGUAAUAUAUCGGAACGUGCCCAGUCGUGGGGGAUAACGUAGCGAAAGCUACGCUAAUACCGCAUACGAUCUAUGGAUGAAAGCGGGGGAUCGCAAGACCUCGCGCGCUUGGAACGGCCGAUAUCAGAUUAGGUAGUUGGUGGGGUAAAGGCUCACCAAGCCGACGAUCUGUCGCUGGUCUGAGAGGACGACCAGCCACACUGGGACUGAGACACGGCCCAGACUCCUACGGGAGGCAGCAGUGGGGAAUUUUGGACAAUGGGCGCAAGCCUGAUCCAGCAAUGCCGCGUGCAGGAUGAAGGCCUUCGGGUUGUAAACUGCUUUUGUACGGAGCGAAAAGGCUUCCACUAAUACUGGGGGCUCAUGACGGUACCGUAAGAAUAAGCACCGGCUAACUACGUGCCAGCAGCCGCCGUAA
rnacentral:rRNA from 1 species